GACGUAGGGCGCGAGCGUUGUCCGGAUUUAUUGGGCGUAAAGAGCUCGUAGGCGGUUUGUCGCGUCGGGAGUGAAAACCAUGAGCUUAACUCAUGGCUUGCUUUCGAUACGGGCAGACUAGAGGCAUGCAGGGGAGAACGGAAUUCCUGGUGUAGCGGUGAAAUGCGCAGAUAUCAGGAGGAACACCGGUGGCGAAGGCGGUUCUCUGGGCAUGUCCUGACGCUGAGGAGCGAAAGUGUGGGGAGCGAACAGG
rnacentral:rRNA from 1 species